UUGAAAGGGAAACGAUUGAAGUCAGUCGUACCAGCGGGAAAUCAACCUUUCGAGUGNUGUUUUGGAGUUUUGAAGUGUGUCAAAACCUUUGAGAUUUUAAAAUUUUCGCUCUUUUGGUGUACUUUCUCGUGGGUAGGUUAACAUCGAUUUUGAUCAUCAUAAAAAGAUUGGAGGAAUGUAGCUUCGAUCUUGUAUUGAAGUGUUAUAGCCUUUGGUAAAUGUGAUGAUUAGGAUCGAGGAUUGCAACGAAUACCCUUUUGGGCUAUCCGCCUGAUCUCUGAUACGUGGCCUUGGUAUCGAAAGCUUGCUUAUGGUAUUAAGGUAUUACGGUCAAAAGGUUAGAACGGAUUACAUUCGUUAAGGAUGUUGACGUA
rnacentral:rRNA from 1 species